GACGAACGCUGGCGGCGUGCUUAACACAUGCAAGUCGAGCGGAAAGGCCCUUCGGGGUACUCGAGCGGCGAACGGGUGAGUAACACGUGAGUAACCUGCCCUAGGCUUUGGGAUAACCCCGGGAAACCGGGGCUAAUACCGGAUAUGACCUGGUGCCGCAUGGUGUUGGGUGGAAAGUUUUUUCGGCCUGGGAUGGGCUCGCGGCCUAUCAGCUUGUUGGUGGGGUGAUGGCCUACCAAGGCGAUGACGGGUAGCCGGCCUGAGAGGGCGACCGGCCACACUGGGACUGAGACACGGCCCAGACUCCUACGGGAGGCAGCAGUGGGGAAUAUUGCACAAUGGGCGGAAGCCUGAUGCAGCGACGCCGUGUGAGGGAUGAAGGCCUUCGGGUUGUAAACCUCUUUCAGCAGGGACGAAGCGUGAGUGACGGUACCUGCAGAAGAAGCGCCGGCCAACUACGU
rnacentral:rRNA from 1 species